AUUGAACGCUGGCGGCAUGCCUUACACAUGCAAGUCGAACGGUAACAGGUCUUCGGAUGCUGACGAGUGGCGAACGGGCGAGUAAUACAUCGGAACGUGCCUAGUAGUGGGGGAUAACUACUCGAAAGAGUGGCUAAUACCGCAUGCGAUCUACGGAUGAAAGCAGGGGAUCGCAAGGCCUUGUGCUACUAGAGCGGCCGAUGGCAGAUUAGGUAGUUGGUGGGAUAAAAGCUUACCAAGCCGACGAUCUGUAGCUGGUCUGAGAGGACGAUCAGCCACACUGGGACUGAGACACGGCCCAGACUCCUACGGGAGGCAGCAGUGGGGGAUUUUGGACAAUGGGCGCAAGCCUGAUCCAGCAAUGCCGCGUGCAGGAUGAAGGCCUUCGGGUUGUAAACUGCUUUUGUACGGAACGAAAAGCCCUGGGUUAAUACCCUGGGGUCAUGACGGUACCGUAAGAAUAAGCACCGGCUAACUACGUGCCAGCCGCCGCGGUAAUAC
rnacentral:rRNA from 1 species